rnacentral:lncRNA from 1 species
GCAACAUAAAAAAAAGCAUACAUGAUUUAUGAUAAAAGGAAGCUCCUAAGACUGACUCAACGUUUGAGCCCAUAGACUAGGCCCAAAUCACUUCAUGUUAGUUUUUCACUUGGGCUGCAGAUUCAGCCCUUUUUUAAUAAAAUUGAACAAACCAUUAGUUCUACUGAGUGGGCUCAAAAGCCUAGCUCCUUUACACCACUACUGUUUUGUAAAAAUACAACAACCACAUAACUAAACACCUAAAUGUAGCUAUUCUGAAUCCCAAAACGUGAGAUCAAAACCCAAUUCAUUACGGUCUUCAAAUAAACUAAGCAGCUUUUUAAGAUCAAUACCUUACAUUAGAACUUAUUAAAUACAUAAACUAACUACAUUAAAAUCUAAACUAUUACAAAUUGUGUAUACCUGACAUCACGAAGAAUUCCUUUCUCUUUUGGACAUGAUUUGUUCAUUAGAGCAUGGUCUCCUCUUGUAUUAAAACAGCAUGAUUCCCAAUUUCCAGCUUUUGAACCUGCUGAUUUGGCCAACUAGUGGUCAAAUCUGCAGGUAGCAGCUCAUGAUCAAUAGAUAGAAACAAAAUAUCCUUGAGUAAAUAGAAGACCAUUUAUUUAGGUAGAAGAAAGAUGAGAAAAACAUGGCUGAAUUUCAUGGUCAACAUUAACAAAACAGAAUUCUAAGGACACAUCCUCAUAACAUAACUAUUUGCAAGAUAAAAGCUACAAAAUGCAUUCAGAUGUUAGACAAGUUAUUCAUACCAAAUUACCUCAAACUUUAAACUCACAUAAUCAAAGCUAAAUAAAAUCCAUAUCAAUGAAAACUACUGCUGACAUUCACUUCUACACAUGCCAUUUACAAAUCUAAUUUUAUAUCAUUUCAACAGAUCAUUAAGGCAUUACAUAGAAAAAGAGAUGAGGUUAAAUACCUAGAAACAGCAACAAAACCAAGCACCCAACUAGAUGAAUAAGAUGGCUGAACAACUGAGAGCAAUGAAACAGAACUCAAAGCUAGAAACCGAAAGUCAGGAACCAAACUUCAACCAAUAGCUACAGCAACUAAAACUAGUAUACCCCAAAGAAAAAAAACAAGGAAAUUUUCAACUUCAAACCAUAUUUCUCAACUUAUGAAGACCAGAAAUGGGAAGUUUUUUUGUUAAAAUCAAGAGACAAAGAAAUCAACUCUUUUGAAAACAACAGCCAAACUUUGGAGAGUAUUUUUUUCUUAGGGUUUUCAAUCUGAUCCUAUUUUCUGAGGAAUAGUAUCUAUAUAUAAGCUACCUAUGAUAGGAAUUCUUUAGGAAUAUUCCUUAUCAUAUAGCUGAAAAUAGUACUGUCCUUUUUUCAACAGCCCUGAUAUAGCUAUCCCUUUUAUCCUAUUUUUCAGCAUCUUUUACAACAGCUAGGACAGCUGUACACUUUAUAGAAACUUCUCCUCCUAGAUAUUUUCUGAAAAAUUGUCCUAAGUCUCUUUUAAUUCAAUUAAGUCCUUAUAAGUUCUAAAGGUUAACAGAAUAAGGCAAACAAAACAAAAAUUAGAAAAGAUCAAAAUUUCAAAGUAAAAUGCCUAACAGAAUCAUGCUGGAAAUCAAACCUAAAAAGUAAAUUAAUCAGUAAAUAGAAGCGUUUACCUAAAUAAAUCUAACAAGAGCAUGAAUUUAAAUAAACACAGAUGGUAAACAAAAAUUCAUAUGAACCAUAACUAGACUAAUUUCAUGCCAUUGAAGAUAAAUCUCAAUUACUAAAAUGAUGAGGUUUCAAUUAACCUAAUGAACAAAACAGAUAGGCAGACCAAAAAUCUAUGAACAACAGGAAAGAAAGCCUAAGAUUGUAAAAUUAAAACAUGCGGCCAAAAUCAAACAAUUAACAUGCAAAAGAAGAACAAGAAAUAAAACCAAACAAAAAGAAGGAAAAGAAGAAAAAUUUACCUAAGCUUUUUUUUUCAAUACUGGACCCACUAUGAACUCGACAAAACUUUAUCAAGGUAGAAAUAAACUUAAACUACCAUUAAUCGACAAAAAGUCGACUAAUGGAUGUUUUGAGUUCACUUGACCAACAAUUGACCGGAAAAUAAGAAAGGAGAAAAAAUUAGGAUUCAAUGAAUCUGAAAUUUAAGAUUCGGGGAGUUUGGCUGGGAUUUUUGGGAAAUCAAUGGGAAGGCAGUGGUGAAGGAAGGCUAGGGAUUACGUAGUGUGAGUUUGAUGUCGUUUGGGUUAUUUGAGGUUUUUAGGUUUCGAUCUUAGAUUUAAGAUUCGAAACGUUUGGUGAUGAUUUGAGGGAAACAGGUUAGAGAUUUGGAAAGGGGAGGGCAGGGAGGUCAUAGGUGUUAAUUUGUUGGUGUUUGGAGGUGGUUCACCGCCAUGAGGCAAUUUCCAGUCGGCGGACCACGACAAAGACGAUGAAGUAAUUCAGUGUGGCUAGGGUUUGGGGUUAGAUACAGAGAUGAUGUGAAAUGGGGGACGUUUCUGGGGUUAGGGGGCGAG